rnacentral:rRNA from 1 species
AUUGAACGCUGGCGGCAGGCUUAACACAUGCAAGUCGAGCGGGCGAGGUUGCUUCGGUAACUGAGCUAGCGGCGGACGGGUGAGUAAUGCUUAGGAAUCUGCCUAUUAGUGGGGGACAACAUUCCGAAAGGGAUGCUAAUACCGCAUACGUCCUACGGGAGAAAGCAGGGGACCUUCGGGCCUUGCGCUAAUAGAUGAGCCUAAGUCGGAUUAGCUAGUUGGUGGGGUAAAGGCCUACCAAGGCGACGAUCUGUAGCGGGUCUGAGAGGAUGUUCCGCCACACUGGGACUGAGACACGGCCCAGACUCCUACGGGAGGCAGCAGUGGGGAAUAUUGGACAAUGGGGGGAACCCUGAUCCAGCCAUGCCGCGUGUGUGAAGAAGGCCUUUUGGUUGUAAAGCACUUUAAGUGGGGAGGAGGCUUACCUGGUUAAUACCUGGGCUAAGUGGACGUUACCCACAGAAUAAGCACCGGCUAACUCUGUGCCAGCCGCCGCCGUAA